rnacentral:rRNA from 1 species
CACGUAGGCACCAAGCGUUGUCCGGAUUUAUUGAGCGUAAAGAGCUCGUAGGCGGUUCGGUAAGUCGGGUGUGAAAACUUUGGGCUUAACCCAAAGCGUGCACUCGAUACUGCCAUGACUAGAGUUCGGUAGGGGAGUGGGGAAUUCCUAGUGUAGCGGUGAAAUGCGCAGAUAUUAGGAGGAACACCGGUGGCGAAGGCGCCACUCUGGGCCGAAACUGACGCUGAGGAGCGAAAGCGUGGGUAGCAAACAGG